AUUGAACGCUGGCGGCAUGCUUUACACAUGCAAGUCGAACGGUAACAGGCCGCAAGGUGCUGACGAGUGGCGAACGGGUGAGUAAUGCAUCGGAACGUGCCCAGUCGUGGGGGAUAACUACUCGAAAGAGUAGCUAAUACCGCAUACGAUCUAUGGAUGAAAGCGGGGGACCGUAAGGCCUCGCGCGAUUGGAGCGGCCGAUGUCAGAUUAGGUAGUUGGUGGGGUAAAGGCUCACCAAGCCAACGAUCUGUAGCUGGUCUGAGAGGACGACCAGCCACACUGGGACUGAGACACGGCCCAGACUCCUACGGGAGGCAGCAGUGGGGAAUUUUGGACAAUGGGCGCAAGCCUGAUCCAGCAAUGCCGCGUGCAUGAAGAAGGCCUUCGGGUUGUAAACUGCUUUUGUACGGAACGAAACGGCUCUGGUUAAUACCCGGGGCUAAUGACGGUACCGUAAGAAUAAGCACCGGCUAACUACGUG
rnacentral:rRNA from 1 species